UGUUCGUAUCAAUGACACUGGUGGGAGCUCAAAGUCCGAAGAGACCACAUACCCAGUUAAAUCUACCACCGAUUGGUCUAGGUGCAGCGCGUGGUGAUAAUGGACCGGAGGGAAUCAUUAAAGUUCAGGACAAAAAUUCACCUUUAACAGCUUGGGGGUCUUCAAAUUUCCGUGGAAAAUGGGGAGGUGGUCUAGGUGUAAAGACACCAAAAUGGGAUUUCACAGGACAGGGAUCAGUAAAUACUGGUGGACGCUGGGACGCUAGAGUUGGUGCAAGAAGAGGCAAUUGGGAUUUUUCAGGGUACGGUAGAAAUGCUGGAAGAGGUCUUGAAGUUGGUGGCGGCAUCAUAUAUAGGUUUGGAGGGUCAAACAGAAGAAGGGGAGGAUGAGGUGGAAGAGGUGGAAGAGGCGGAAGACUCAAUUUUCAAGAGAUGAUGGAGCAAAUACCUCAAGAAUAGGGCUCCUUUUAAAGCUAUACAAAUUGACGUCAUUAAAUAAAGCAUCGUUAUAUGCAAUACGCACAGAAUGUCAUAAUGUAUCCAAAACCAUUUAGAAGGAAGAUGAAAAGCCCUAUGUAAGUUGUCAAAAGAAAUUAUCAAUCUGUUAAUAAAUGAUUUCAGCUUUCA